CUCAAGAAGAUCCAGUUCCCCGGUACCCGCUCCGGGACAACUUGUGAGUCCAAGUUCUCGCUGGUGAAUUCAAUCCUUCCAACGAUUCGCAAUGAGAUGACCCCUAAUCCCUAUGCAAAUCUGAUUCUACUACACACAUCUCUUCUACUCGGCACCCCCACAGCCUUGCGGGAUCAAGGUUCGGAAAGCAAGGCUCCAGGAUAGACAUCCACAACUACUACAACAUCCAAGAGAACAAGUUCUCGUAACUCCUAUAAGGAGGCAGAAGCAAAUGGAACUCUACCUAGUUGUAAGCCAGCUUCCUUGGUCUAGACUUCCAGCCCAUCCAAGACUACAUAAGAGAUGUGGCCUCAAAGAAAGAAAGGAGAACGAGUUGGAGAAAAGCUGUCACGACCCUCCAAAAUCAAUAUAUUUACAGCUUCCUGAGAGGACGGCGAUGCUAAAGACUGUGUCAUUGGGGUGAGAUGGCUUAACAGGUAACAAGAAAAAAAAAGUGGGGCUGGUGAGAUGGAUCGAUGGGU
rnacentral:lncRNA from 1 species